AUUAAGAAACACAUGAGCCAGCCAGUCUGGAGCCUGCCCGGUUGCACUUUUGUUGUGAGCCAGCUGCCAGUCGUCAGUCGUCAGUCCUUGGUUGAACUUCGUUCACGGUGGGUGUGCUCUCAACCCUGGCACAGAGAAAUAGGUAAUAUUGUGUCGACACAUUAGAGGCAGAGAAUGACGCGACCAGUGGUGGUGCUAGUGGUGCUGGUGCUGAUAGCAGCGGCAGGUCUACCUUUGGGUCAGACUCGGACGACGGGAAGUUGUAAUGGCGCGUGUCAGCGCCUGGACGGAAAUGGACUCUGCCGAACAAUAUACAACUGUCGAUCAAACACCGAUGGAGGAGAAGCCUUGGGCUCCAUAUUUGGAUCGACACCCUGCAGGCGACGGUGCUAUGCUUUCGUCCGGGGCCGGUGUCGCCUCAAGUUUUCUUGCCUGCUGGGGUAGCUGCAGGCCCCCGCUUGUUCCUGGGAAUGAGUGUGGCGUGUACUCAAGUAACCCAGCAGUAUUCCAACGUGUUAUUUGUUCACAAGUAUACCGAUAAUUUUACAUGAGUAGCAAGGUAACAGUAAAACAGCAUGAAACUAGAUGUUUAAUUAAAUGCGCAUUUAUUGAAUUAAGACAGCAAUAUUUAGCCUAUUUAAAGGCUAUAACAUUUAACUGUAACAGUGAUAAUACUGUACGUAAUUAUUUAACAUUAUUUAGUUGCAAUAUAUUCACGCUGCUUUCUUUAUAACAUGGGUAUUAAGCAACCUUACCAACUGGUUUCAAAAAUUCACAAUUAUCUGUUAAAAGUCUUAAAUAAAAUGGAUAAACCAUC